rnacentral:rRNA from 1 species
GAUGAACGCUGGCGGCGUGCCUAAUACAUGCAAGUCGAGCGAACGGACGAGAAGCUUGCUUCUCUGAUGUUAGCGGCGGACGUGUGAGUAACACGUGGAUAACCUACCUAUCAGACUGGGAUAACUUCGGGAAACCGGAGCAAAUACCGGAUGAUAUUUUGAACCGCAUGGUUGAAAAGUGAAAGACGGCCUUGCUGUCACUUAUAGAUGCAUCCGCGCUGCAUUAGCUAGUUGGUAAGGUAACGGCUUACGAAGGCAACGAUGCAUAGCCGACCGGAGAGGGUGAUCGGCCACACUGGAGGUGAGACACGGUCCAGGCUCCUACGGGAGGCAGCAGUAGGGAAUCUUCCGCAAUGGGCGAAAGCCUGACGGAGCAACGCCGCGUGAGUGAUGAAGGUCUUCGGAUCGUAAAACUCUGUUAUUAGGGAAGAACAUAUGUGUAAGUAACUGUGCACAUCUUGACGGUACCUAAUCAGAAAGCCACGGCUAACUACGUG